CUUUCACCAGAGCCACUUCAUGCAGCUGUGCAGUAUCUGCACAGCACAACCCCAUAGCGCAGCGUCAUCUGCUGUUCACAUUGUAGCCUGUGAGGGGGCCUCCCUCCCCCCAGGUCGCCCAUUAAAUGUGUGGUAUGUGGGCAGGGGGUCUGGCACAUUCAGGGAGCUUAUAAUGUAGUCUUAUAAUACAGUUUGGUUGUGAAGGUGACAGCUGCAUGUGGAGCUCCCAUGGUGACUCCGAUGUGACAUUUUUUGCUAAGUGUCGGAAUUCAGCCUGGAGGCUGGAUUCCUCCAGUGGGAGUUUCGGUGCACAUUCAUGAGAGGAGGGGGCAGUGGAGUGACUGGAAGCCAAUGCAUGGAAAGAAAUUGGGACUCGAAUAAGCAGACACUGAGGGGCCCUGGUGUCCCUUUGUCGUGGUGUGAACUGAUAAAUACAAAUCAAUAAGAGUGUAAGUUAUAGGUUAUAGAUUAGUAAAAAAAAAUAUAUAGAUUAUAGAUAAAAGAUUUUGAUAAGUGAGAUAAGACAAUUAUAAAGCAGGAACUGUCACAGACAGCUCAAGACCCCAUUUGCUGCCUUCUGUAAAUAAAAAACUGUUACAAGAGCUGUUUCUGAGAAACUGAAAUGAAAGCUGUUUUCUUAUAAAAAUUGUCUUUCUGUACUUUGUACCCCACAGAUUCUACCCUACUCACGAUGCAGCGGUGGUCGUGGUGAGCUACAUCCUGGGUGUGAGUGCCCUUGUGGGUCUACAUGACUUUGAAGUAGAUUCUCGCCCUGCUGACCCCUGCCCAAAUUCAGGAUGCGACUGUCUAGCACCUGCUUGAACCCAGGACUGUGGUCACCUGAACUGCAAAGCUAAUGCUAUUUUAGCUUCUGUUUAUUGCUUGCUUGCUGACUGGGAAAUUCCAGUCCUGCCCAGAGUCCACAGGUCCCACUUGUUAAUGUUUUAAUUUCUGUGAUUGGCUAGCUUACAUGACGAUAAGCAAGUCGCUGAGUUGUGUUUAUGUUUAUAUUCUCUUUGGAUGGACCAAGAAGCUGCUGUCCUCCCACAGAGCUUGAGUCUCUGCCACGGGUGACAGUCCCUAGCCCAGCCCUGCAGGGAAAGGGAGCUUGUGCUCCACGGGAGCGGUGAUUGGCUACCAGAGGUGGACUGCAGCACGCCAGACAGAACUCCCGCCAGAGGCGUAUCCCAGCUCCCCAAAAUGUGCAGUACCUCCAUUCUGGGGCCUCAGAUCUAAGUCAAACCUGCCUGGGAGAAUGUGACGGAACCAGAGUAUGAGGAAUCUGCCAAUAUCAUAGCAAGACAGAAGAUUUCCACCUUGGGACCAUCAGACCAAGAUCCCUGCCUUCCUCACAGUCUCCUCCAGGCCUCAAACCCAACCAGCAUUCCCUUGCCACCACUGGUUCUUACAGUAAAUAUGAUCACUGUCCUCAAUUCACAUGAUUAAACAAAGGCAUGAAGAGAUUCAGUGACUUGUCCAUGCGACACACAAUGGAGUUGACCUUGGAGCUGCCCAGCUUGUUUACUGCCAACCCCACUAACUACUGUGACCACGGUCAAUUCUUCCACGCAAGUCAAACUGGUAGCACACAGUUGUUCAAGUUUUUGAGCCAACUAUAUGUCGGCACAUCUCAAUCAGAGUGUCCCAGACCACACCAAGCACUAACAAGGAGGGUCAAUCACCUUCAGAAUGUUGAUCCACACCAGUUGGGACACAGAGACGUCCCUGGAGUCAGCUCUAGUUCAUUGUCCCCAGGAACUCCUCUCCAUUCCGGAUGGUGGGAAAGCAUCUCUGUGACUGCAGGGAUCCUUUUGAAAGUCCCGCAAGAGACCAAGAAGCUCUGAAGGCUUAUAAAGCAAACAGACAGGAGGAGAAACAGGAAGGAAGGUGCCUAAACCAGAGGAGAAAGGUGAUUCACAAGGCCACCAGCGAAGGGCCCCAGGAACGAAGCUGGCUUUUAAUUUUUGUUGUUCUGUUUUACCAGAUGAUUCUUUUGAGUCAGUGCUUGGCUAUAAAUAUAGGUUAAUUUCCAAUUCCUCCCCCAAGCACUGGACAGAUUUUGCCCACAUCUUUUGUGUGUUGGAGAGGAAGGACAUUCACCGUGCAUGGACUGUGUGAAAUUGUCAGCCGGGGGCGCUGGACUCGUCUACUUAGAUCAUCUUGCAGAAUCCACUGAGGUCAGGCGCAUUUUCCCAAAGCCUCCCCUUGCCCUCUGAUCUCCUGCUGAGGACACCCAGCAAACUAGAAGUCAGAGGGGCACAGACAAUACGAGUUUACAGGGCAGCCUCCCUGGGCACCGAGGGGUGUCAGGGUGGGAGAGCAUCUGGAGGGGCAGAUGGAGAUGCCCACAGUGUCCAGGCUGGUCUUUGAGGGUGUGAUCUAGGGGACCUGAGGACCUUAACCUGGUUUGAACUUGGCUGAUGGAACCUGCAGAAGGAGACUAGGGAUUGUUAACUAGCCCAGGUCCACUCGUCCUUAGGAUCUUGAUCUCCAAGGCUGGAAAUCUACACUUGCUGGUGGGAGGCCCACUGACAGGAGCCAGGAGACCUGGGGCCCAGGGCAUAUCUGCUAUGUGGAGCGUGUCUGUGGGCAGGUCCCCUUUCUGGGCCUGGCUCCUCAUUCAUGAAGUCAGUGGGUUGACCUGUUCUAGUAACUUUGGUCCCCCCAGUGCACCCGCCUGCCUGACCAACCUCUAGCGCUGUCAUCCCGCUUGACCUGGAGGGGACUGGGCCUGGGCCCUGCCAUUUUCCAACACAUCCCAGGUGAUUCUCAGGCUCAGCUGGGUUUGGGAAAUACUGGACUAGAUCCCCACCUCUGGUUCUGGGAUCCUCUUGCAAGUGUCAGGGGAUCAUCAGUUCAAAACCUAACUUGUGCAUGAAAAUAGCACAGAAGGAGUUUAGCACUUUAUUGAGGAUGUGAUGGCACAUUUGUGAUAAUUAUUUAUUCCUCACAAUGUUCUCUAGGUUGCCAUAGUUACCACACCCAUUUUCAUAGUUAAAGUAAUUGAGGUCAGAAACUUUUUUUUAAUAUCCUUUUUUUAAGUUGUAGAUGAACACAAUAACUUUAUUUACUUAUUUAUAUGUGGUGCUUAGGAUAGAACCCAGCACCUCACACAUGCCAGACGAAUGUGCUACCACUGAGCCACAACCUGAGGUCAGAAACUUUUGAGAUUCUUUUAGCAAUAUAUGCUGAGCACCUACUGUGCAUCCUACACUGUUGUGGGUGCUGGGAACACAGAGAAACAAAACAGACCUGAGCCCCUGCUCUCAAGGAGAUGGAUCAUUAGGGCUACUUAAGUCCCUGUGCUUUUAACACCUGGUCAUUACUCCUAGAAUACCCUUUCACUCUCACAAUGUCCCAAUUUGGAUGAUAAAGUUAUAUUCCACAGAUGAACAAAAUAGAUGGUGAUGAAGACAAUAAAACAACAAUCCUGUCUACUAAAAUAUGCCAUGAUUCAUAGGUAUAUAUUUCUGACCGUUUUAGGCAUCAAAACACUGUGGUUGACUUGUGUGGAAUGGAUGCUUAGGUUGGACAAAGAACACCUCUCUGAGGAGGUGACAUAGAAUCCAGAUGUAAAUAGCAAGGACUUGCUGGCCAUGUAGAGACCUGGGGGUGGUGGUCCAGGCAAUGGGAACAGCAAAUAUAAAGGUCCCAGGCAGGAGGAGGUCAGUCCUGUCUAACAUCUCACAACGAACAGGCUCCUCUAAUACAUAUUCAGCCCAAAAUAUCUUCAAAAGAUCAUUCUGCAUUGUUAAUGUGGUUGUAAAAUUGUGCAGCCACUUUGAAAAACAGAAUAAGGUUUCUCAAAAAAAAUUCAGAAAGAUUUUCAUAUGAUCCAGCACAAUCGCACUUCUGGGUACACAUUUCUGGGUGUACAUAUAAUUGAAAACAAGUUCUCAAAUAUUUGCACAUCCAUGUUCGUAGCAUCAUUCUUCACAAUAGCCUAGAGGUAAAAGCAGCCUGAAUGUUAAUCAACAGAUGAAACAAAUAUGUAUACACAUAAAAUGGAAUAUUAUUCAGCCUUAAAUAGGAUGGGAGGGGCUGAGGAUGUGGCUCAAGUGGUAGCAUGCUCACCUGGCAUGCAUGCGGCCUGAAUUCAAUCCUCAGCACCACAUACAAACAAAGAUGUUGUGUCCGCCGAAAACUAAAAAAUAAAUA